AAUAGAUACCCAGGUAGUUCACGCCGUAAACGAUGUCGACUUGGAGGUUGUUCCCUUGAGGAGUGGGCUUCCGGAGCUAACGCGUUAAGUCGACCGCCUGGGGAGUACGGCCGCAAGGUUAAAACUCAAAUGAAUUGACGGGGGCCCGCACAAGCGGUGGAGCAUGUGGUUUAAUUCGAUGCAACGCGAAGAACCUUACCUACUCUUGACAUCCACGGAACUUUUCAGAGAUGAAUUGGUGCCUUCGGGAACCGUGAGACAGGUGCUGCAUGGCUGUCGUCAGCUCGUGUUGUGAAAUGUUGGGUUAAGUCCCGCAACGAGCGCAACCCUUAUCCUUUGUUGCCAGCGGUUAGGCCGGGAACUCAAAGGAGACUGCCAGUGAUAAACUGGAGGAAGGUGGGGAUGACGUCAAGUCAUCAUGGCCCUUACGAGUAGGGCUACACACGUGCUACAAUGGCGCAUACAAAGAGAAGCGACCUCGCGAGAGCAAGCGGACCUCAUAAAGUGCGUCGUAGUCCGGAUUGGAGUCUGC
rnacentral:rRNA from 1 species